rnacentral:lncRNA from 1 species
AGUGCCUAUUGGAGGAAGACAAAGUCAAAAACCCUAUCAUGAACAAUCCUAAGGAGAGACCAACAUGGCAAAGAAGAAAAGCCUCCUGCCAACAAUCGUACGAGUGAACUUGGAAGUUGAUUAUGCCACCACAGUUGAACAUUGAGAUGAGUGCAGCCUCAGGCAAUGGACGUGACUGCAACCUUGGGACAGACCUUGAACCAAACCACCCAGAUACUAUGUUUAUUCGGAAUUGGUGGUUUCUGACAACCCUACAUGAGGAAUUCUGUUGACACCAUGUUUCCAACAGGAUGUGAUCACUUUGUAUCUUUGUCAC